rnacentral:rRNA from 1 species
GACGUAGGGGGCCAGCGUUGUUCGGAAUUACUGGGUGUAAAGGGUUCGUAGGCGGUGUGGCGAGUCGGGAGUGAAAUCUCUGGGCUCAACCCAGAGACUGCUUCCGAAACUGCUGUGCUUGAGUGUGAGAGAGGCUCGUGGAAUUGCAGGUGUAGCGGUGAAAUGCGUAGAUAUCUGCAGGAACACCCGUGGCGAAAGCGGCGAGCUGGAUCACUACUGACGCUGAGGAACGAAAGCUAGGGGAGCAAACAGG